AGUGAACGCUGGCGGUAGGCCUAACACAUGCAAGUCGAACGGCAGCACAGUAAGAGCUUGCUCUUACGGGUGGCGAGUGGCGGACGGGUGAGGAAUACAUCGGAAUCUACUUUUUCGUGGGGGAUAACGUAGGGAAACUUACGCUAAUACCGCAUACGACCUACGGGUGAAAGCAGGGGAUCUUCGGACCUUGCGCGAUUGAAUGAGCCGAUGUCGGAUUAGCUAGUUGGCGGGGUAAAGGCCCACCAAGGCGACGAUCCGUAGCUGGUCUGAGAGGAUGAUCAGCCACACUGGAACUGAGACACGGUCCGGACUCCUACGGGAGGCAGCAGUGGGGAAUAUUGGACAAUGGGCGCAAGCCUGAUCCAGCCAUACCGCGUGGGUGAAGAAGGCCUUCGGGUUGUAAGGCCCUUUUGUUGGGAAAGAAAAGCAGCAGGUUAAUACCCCGCUGUUCUGACGGUACCCAAAGAAUAAGCACCGGCUAACUUCGUG
rnacentral:rRNA from 1 species